UCUUCGUCUGCGACGGCGAACGAUCGAGAUUCGUUUCUGUAACAUUUGGCUGUAACGUUUCGUUUCAUAUUCAUCUAUUUGUACUCAAUAAUCGUUCCGUUCUGUUUCAUUACUGUCAUUAAUUCCGUUUUUAGUCGUCUAAUCUGUGUAUAAAUAGGCCGGGAUGUGUUCAUCCGUUGUGGAGGCCAGGCUGCUGCGAUACUGAGAAGCUAAGAAUGUCAAGCGUGGUGUUCAUCCCUUAUCGUUUUCCUCCUUCCAUCAAAUCAAAUUUUAGGGUUCAUCCACUGUUCAAUCUGUGACGAUUCUUAUAUGUUCUCUGACACCAAGAAUGAAGGUUCGAGAGAUUCAGUGGCUCAGAUCGGUUUUAUCGGCGAUCAUGAAGGGAGACGAUUGUAAUUUUAGAUAUAAUGCAUCCAAGGAAGAAUCAGAAUAAAGGAUCCAACAAGAAGGCGCCUUUGAUCAAAUCUCAGAAACGGAAGCUGAAGAAACUUGAGGAAGACAGGGAGAAAGCGCUCCUCUCUGCAAAAAAAAAGUCCGAUUUGUUAAACAGCAAGUAUAAAAUAUAUGAGGAUGUAUCUUCUUUUACACAUCGGAAGAUCUGAUACGAAGCUGGAGAAAUGCAGGAGACCAACGCUCUAAAGCUGGUGUUUUGUCUGAUGAACCAGUCAAGGAAAAUGACAACUCCGAUUAUUGUAUGGGCGAGCCUACCACACCUGAAAUCCAUAUCCCGGUUCUUCACUCUGAUUCUGACCAACUUAUUCAUCCCAAUGAACUUGAUUCGAAAGUGAUGAUGAUCUCUGCUUAAGAGGUCCGUGAAGAAGAUGAAACCAUGUAUAUGAAUCUACAGACAAUUGUCGUGAUGAUGAAUAAGGCUUACAAAGAAUGUUCAUGUUUCAAGACCAGCUGAAGUUAAACAUACGUGGAAGUAUCUUUCUAUAAUUAUGAUGGAGCAGGAGAUCAUGGAGACUAUCAAUUAUCAUCCCAGCGUUAUUAUUUCUGGAAAGACCGGUUGUGGUAAACCCACUCAGGUUCCUCAUGUCAGGUUUUGCUCAUGUCUGAGGGUUUUGGUUUCAAUGCUUAAUCUAAUCCUGUUUCUGAAUCUUUCAGUUCCUUUUGUGAAUCUGGUUUUGGCUCAAAUCAAUUCAGUUCUCGAAGUGUGGUUAUCGGUAUUACACAGCCACGUCGUGUGGCCCCUGAGCUUGGUGUUUGCCUUGAUCAAGAAGUCGGUUUCCAAGUUAAGUACGACAAAAAAAAUUGGCUAGAACUCAUCUAUCAAGUUUUAUGACCAAUGGGAUUUUAUAGUUUCUCUCUUUUUUUCAUCUAAAUGUAUGUAACAGGUGUUUUGUAUGAAAGUUCUUCUGUUGCAGAAUGAUCUCUUACUGAGGCGAUACUCUGUGAUCAUUCUCGAUGAAGCUCAUGUAAUUGGGAUGCUCACUCGAGCCAUCAAAAUCAGAGAGGAACUCUACAACGAUCAACGAACUUCUACAAUCUGGAAGCACAAUAGCAUCAGAAAACGAAAUCAUCUUGCCGUUUAAACUUAUAUUGAUGAGUGCAACUUUACGAGCAGAAGACUUUGUAUCGGAGAAAAGGUUGUUCCCCAAUCAACAGUACUCCGUAACUAUACAUUUGUCCAAGAGGACUGGCGAUCUAUGGUGUCUUGCAAGAAGCGUCAUAAGCUCUGACUCCUAAUUGUGCUAGGAGAUGUUCUGUAAUGCCAGUUUUUGGUGGAUAAGUUUCAUUUAAUUUUCUAUUUUGUCGUCGUUUUUGCUUUUUUUCUGAGAAUUAGAUAGCAUUAUAUU